rnacentral:rRNA from 1 species
AGAGUUUGAUUAUGGCUCAGGAUGAACGCUAGCUACAGGCUUAACACAUGCAAGUCGAGGGGAAACGACAUCGAAAGCUUGCUUUUGAUGGGUGUCGACCGGCGCACGGGUGAGUAACGCGUAUCCAACCUACCCACCACUUGGGGAUAACCUUGCGAAAGUAAGACUAAUACCCAAUGAUAUCUCUAGAAGACAUCUGAAAGAGAUUAAAGAUUUAUCGGUGAUGGAUGGGGAUGCGUCUGAUUAGCUUGUUGGCGGGGUAACGGCCCACCAAGGCAACGAUCAGUAGGGGUUCUGAGAGGAAGGUCCCCCACAUUGGAACUGAGACACGGUCCAA